UCGAGGAUCUUUAGCAAUGGACGAAAGUCUGACUAUGCGACGCCGCGUGAGGGAUGAAGGCCUUCGGGUCGUAAACCUCUUUCGAUGGGGAAGAAACCUGACGCAUGAAUAGUGCGUCAGGCUGACGGUACCUAGAGAAGAAGCCAUGGCCAACUCUGUGCCAGCAGCCGCGGUAAUACAGAGAUGGCGAGCGUUACUCGGAUUUAUUGGGUGUAAAGGGCAGGUAGGCGUCCCUCCAAGUUAGAAGUGAAAUCCUAAGGCUCAACCUUAGAAGUGCUUCUAAAACUGAAGGGAUUGAGGCUAGGAGAGGAGAGCGGAAUUCCCGGUGUAAGGGUGAAAUCUGUAGAUAUCGGGAGGAACACCAGUGGCGAAGGCGGCUCUCUGGACUGGUCCUGACGCUAAGCUGCGAAAGCUCGGGGAGCAAACAGG
rnacentral:rRNA from 1 species